GCAUAUCAAUAAGCGGAGGAAAAGAAACCAACAGGGAUUGUCUUAGUAACGGCGAGUGAAGCGACAAAAGCUCAAAUUUGAAAUCUGGCACCUUCGGUGUCCGAGUUGUAAUUUGAAGAAGGUAACUUUGGAGUUGGCUCUUGUCUAUGUUCCUUGGAACAGGACGUCACAGAGGGUGAGAAUCCCGUGCGAUGAGAUGUCCAACUCUAUGUAAAGUGCUUUCGAAGAGUCGAGUUGUUUGGGAAUGCAGCUCUAAGUGGGUGGUAAAUUCCAUCUAAAGCUAAAUAUUGGCGAGAGACCGAUAGCGAACAAGUACAGUGAUGGAAAGAUGAAAAGAACUUUGAAAAGAGAGUGAAAAAGUACGUGAAAUUGUUGAAAGGGAAGGGUUUGAGAUCAGACUUGGUAUUUUGUAUGUCUUGCUUUCGGGUGGGGCCUCUGCAGUUUACUGGGCCAGCAUCGGUUUGGACGGUAGGAUAAUGACAUUGGAAUGUGGCACUA
rnacentral:rRNA from 1 species